GAAGUAGACCCGAAGCUGAGUGAUCUAUCCAUGGUCAGGUUGAACCUCCGGUAACACGGAGUGGAGGACCGAACCGGUGAGCGUUGAAAAGCUUUCGGAUGAACUGUGGAUAGGAGCGAAAGACCAAUCAAACUCAGUGAUAGCUGGUUCUCUUCGAAAUAUCUUGAGGGAUAGCCUUACGCCAUUGACUUACGGGGGUAGAGCACUGAUUGUCCGCGGGUCCUUACCGGGAUACCAACGACUGUCAAACUUCGAAUACCGUUAAGUUUUACCGUAGGAGUCAGACUGUGGGGGAUAAGCUUCAUAGUCGAGAGGGAAACAACCCAGAUCGCCGUCUAAGGUCCCUAAUUUAAGCUAAGUGGUUUGAAGGAUGUGAAGUUGCGUAAACAACCAGGAUGUUGGCUUAGAGGCAGCCAUCAUUUAAAGAUCGCGUAAUAGCGCACUGGUCGAGUGAUUUUGCGCCGAAGAUGAUCGGGACUAAGCUUAAAACCGAAGACGCGGAUGUACAGCAAUGUACGUGGUAGAAGAGCGUUGUAUGAGGAGCGAAGCGUGAAUGAGAAUGAGCGUGGACUUCAUACAAGUGACCAUGCAAGCAUGAGUAGCGAAAAACCGGAUGGAAAUUCCGGUCACCGUAAGACCAAGGUUUCCCGGGGAAGGUUCGUCCGCCCGGGGUUAGCCGGAUCCUAAGGCCAGGCCGAAAGGCGUAGUCGAUGGACAACGGGUUAAUAUUCCCGUGCCGCCUUAACGGAGUGACGGAGUGACGCAGUAUGCUAAGCGAGCUGGCUAUAUGCCAGUCUAAUGUCGUAGGACGUCAGGGGUUAAAUGACCUGACAUCAAGUCUGAAAACGGAUGGGACUCGAAGCCUUCGGGUAACGGGGAUUCGCUGAUGCUUUGCUGACGAGAAAAGCUCCUAAACGUUGAUGUUUUGGCGUCCGUACCGUAAACCGACACAGGUGGUCGAGGCGAGUAGCCUAAGGUGCGCGAGUGAAACCACUUCAAGGAACUCGGCAAAUUAGCCCCGUAACUUUGGGAGAAGGGGUGCCGAACGGGUGCAUAGCCCGGACGGUUUCAACAAAGAGGCCGCGGCGACUGUUUAACAAAAACAUAGCUCUCUGCUAACUCGCAAGAGGAUGUAUAGGGAGUGACACGUGACCAAUGCCGAAAGGUCAAUCGGAUCCGUUAGCAGCAAUGCGAAGCGGUGAUGUGAAGCCCCGGUGAAUGUCGGCCGUAACUAUAACGGUCCUAAGGUAGCGAAAUUCCUUGUC
rnacentral:rRNA from 1 species